CGGCCGGCCAAGUCCGUCGGGAAAUCCAGUCGCUCAACGACUGGGCGUCCGGCGGAAACUAGCCGGCUUGGGGCCGGAAGACCCAGGGGGUACGUCCGGGGUAGGAGUGAAAUCCCGUAAUCCUGGACGGACCGCCGAUGGCGAAAGCACCCUGGGAAGACGGACCCGACGGUGAGGGACGAAAGCUAGGGUCUCGAACCGGAUUAGAUACCCGGGUAGUCCUAGCCGUAAACGAUGCUCGCUAGGUGUGGCACAGGCUACGAGCCUGUGCUGUGCCGUAGGGAAGCCGAGAAGCGAGCCGCCUGGGAA
rnacentral:rRNA from 1 species